rnacentral:rRNA from 1 species
UAGCCGUAAACGAUACUCGCUAGGUGUCGGCCACGGUGCGACCGUUGUCGGUGCCGUAGGGAAGCCGUGAAGCGAGCCACCUGGGAAGUACGGCCGCAAGGCUGAAACUUAAAGGAAUUGGCGGGGGAGCACCACAACGGGUGGAGCUUGCGGUUUAAUUGGAUUCAACGCCGGAAAUCUUACCGGGACCGACAGCAAUAUGAAGGCCAGGCUGAAGACUUUGCCGGAUUAGCUGAGAGGAGGUGCAUGGCGUGUGACUGU